CCCUUAGAUGUUCUGGGCCGCACGCGCGCUACACUGACGAAGUCAGCGAGCAUAUCCUACGCCGACAGGUGCGGGGAAUCUUGUCAAACUUCGUCGUGAUGGGGAUUGAUUAUUGAAAUUCUUGAUCAUCAACGAGGAAUUCCUAGUAAGCGCAAGUCAGCAGCUUGCGUUGAUUACGUCCCUGCCCUUUGUACACACCGCCCGUCGCUACUACCGAUUGAAUGGUUUAGUGAGAUCUUCGGAUUGGCGCCACUGCGGCUCAGCAAUGGGCUCGGUGGAUGCCGAAAAGUUGAUCAAACUUGAUCAUUUAGAGGAAGUAAAAGUCGUAACA
rnacentral:rRNA from 1 species